rnacentral:lncRNA from 1 species
AUCCAAUGUCACUGCAUACUCGAGCUUAUUAUUACAUGGAACAUUAUUAUUCAAAUAUCACAAUGUCAGUGACAUCUAAACACCCUGAUUUACGACCAUUUAUGCUUGUUUCAGAACAAUACCAUCACUCGAUGUGAUUUACACACAAAUUGACAGCUUAGCUGCCACGGUAAGUGGUAAAGGAAAAAAGGUAGAAUGUAAAAAGAGGCACAUGGAAAUGCUCGGUCGCCUGGCUUCUUUUUUAUCUCAAAUAUGAUGCUCACGUAAGGGAAGAACCCUGACGGUGCAUACUUGGAGGUAUUGAAACUUAUGCGGUAGAAACCAGGAGUGACAUUGUCAACGAUGUCCAUCAGCUGACCGCUGCGUCCAUCAUUGUUUGUAAUCGAAGAGCCUAGGGUUGUCCAUCCCUUGAAUCUUUGUUGUCAAAUGACGGGGUACUUGACGCGUCCUUCCACAUCUCCAGGUGAACUUCAANNNNNNNNNNNNNNNNNNNNNNNNNNNNNNNNNNNNNNNNNNNNNNNNNNNNNNNNNNNNNNNNNNNNNNNNNNNNNNNNNNNNNNNNNNNNNNNNNNNNAGACGUAGCAUGUUGAUCGUGUCAUUUUUGUUGCUACUGUUUUCUACGUGUCAAGUAUUUGUUCCUAUGACCAUGAGAUCAUAUAACUCACUAACACCGGAGGAAUACUUUGUGUGUAACAAACGUCACAACGUAACUGGGUGACUAUAAAAGAUGCUCUACAGGUAUCUCCAAAGGUGUUCGUUGAGUUAGUAUGGAUCGAGACUGGGAUUUGUCACUCUGUGUGACGGAGAGGUAUCUCGGGGCCCACUCGGUAAUACAACAUCACACACAAGCCUUGCAAGCAAUGUGACUUAGUGUAAGUUGCGGGGAUCUUGUGUUACGGAACGAGUAAAGAGACUUGCCGGUAAACGAGAUUGAAAUAGGUAUACGGAUACUGACGAUCGAAUCUCGGGCAAGUAACAUAGCGAAGGACAAAGGGAAUGACAUACGGGAUUAUAUGAAUCAUUGGCACUGAGGUUCAAACGAUAAGAUCUUCGUAGAAUAUGUAGGAUCCAAUAUGGGCAUCCAGGUCCCGCUAUUGGAUAUUGACCGAGGAGUCUCUCGGGUCAUGUCUACAUAGUUCUCGAACCCGCAGGGUCUGCACACUUAAGGUUCGACGUUGUUUUAUGCGUAUUUGAGUUAUAUGGUUGGUUACCGAAUGUUGUUCGGAGUCUCGGAUGAGAUCACAGACGUCACGAGGGUUUCCGGAAUGGUCCGGAAACGAGGAUUGAUAUAUAGGAUGACCUCAUUUGAUUACCGGAAGGUUUUACGGAGUUACCGGGAAUGUAGUGGGNNNNNNNNNNNNNNNNNNNNNNNNNNNNNNNNNNNNNNNNNNNNNNNNNNNNNNNNNNNNNNNNNNNNNNNNNNNNNNNNNNNNNNNNNNNNNNNNNNNNGCCCGAGUGCCAUGAUUUCAGAUCUGAAAUUAUUAUGUUGUCACCAAUAUAUGUGUGUUUUAGAUCCGAUCUUGCAAGUUGUAGUUACCUACAAUGUGUUAUGAUCCAGCAACCCCGGAGUGACAAUAACCGGAACCACUCCCGGUGAUGAUCAUAGUUUGAGGAGUUCAUGUGUUCACCAAGUGCUAAUGCGUUGGUCCGGUUCUUUAUUAAAAGGAGAACCUUAAUAUCCCGUAGUUUCCUUUUGGACCCCGCUGCCACGGGAGGGAUGGACAAUAGAUGUCAUGCAAGUUCUUUUCCCUAAACACGUAUGACGACACACGGAAUGCAUGCCUACAUCACAUUGACGAACGGGAGCUAGCCACAUAUCUCUCCGUGUUAUAACUGUUGCAUGAUGAAUAUCAUCCAAACAAAUCACCGACCCAUUGCCUACGAGUUCGUCCUACUACUUUUGUUACUUGUCUUGCUCUGCUGUUGUUACUACUAUUGCUAUUGUUGUUACUUGUCUUGCUCUGCUGCUACUGUCGCUUGCUACUGUUGCUACUUGCUACUGCUGUCACUACUGUUGUUCCUUGCCACUGCUAUUACUCGUUACAUUGUUGCUACCUGCUACAAUUUUGAUACGCUGGUCAUUGACGGGAACAGACAAUUUUCGUCAACGGGCAACUUCUGGCGCCAUUGAUACGACAAUUAGGCAUAGUCUGCCGUCAACAGAUCGUUUCUGACACCGUUGUUAUCAUACUACUUUGCUACUGAUACCUUGCUUGCAGAUACUAAUCUUUCAGGUGUGGUUGAAUCUGACACAUUCAGCUGCUAAUACUCGAGAGUAUUCUCUCACCUCCUGUUUGGCGAUCAACAAAUUUGGGUCGAAUACUCUACCCUCGAAAACUGCUACGAUUCCAAGCGCUGGUGGGCCAUCAACAACAUUCUUCUAGUUUCGAUUGCCGAAGAGUGCUAGCAGCAUUCUUCUGGUGCCGUUGAAGGGGAAGGUCUGCUGUCAUGAAGUCACUAUGUCGGUGUAGAGGAGUCCUUGUCUUGAUCACCAAGUCUUGUAAAAUCUUCCUUGUAUGUGUCAUUGGCUACCCGAAGUGUCCCAGGAGUCCGACCUGUAGAGAUAGGUCGGCGACCCGAGGACCCCUUAGUCCCAUACUCUCUUAACGGGGGUAUGUGAAGAGGGCGUUGGUGCAGCCGAAGUAGAAGGAGGUGCAACAGCUUCGCCACCACCUCCGCCUGAUAGGGAAGAUGGGAAGGCUGGUGUUCGGUGGUAGGGCGAGGCGGAGAGAACGAGGGCAUCCUCAAGCUUCAACAUCGUCUACACUGGACACAAACCACCAAUAACACGAGAAGAAGAACUAGCUUCCUCCCUUUAUCACUAUGUUACCGAGACAAACCCCGCCGGAGGAUCAGCAUCCCAAAUCUAGGAAAUGGUCAACAACUUUCGGAUAUCUAUAACAGGCCUCCUAUGUAUGCGCCACCUAGACGAACCAUCUCCUUGUACGCACUACUCGUAUUAUAGACCCCCUAUGUAUGUCCCACUUAGAUGAACUAUUCCUUUUAUUUAUUGUGUCUUAAUGGUUACCCGCCUGUGUAUGGACUAAAUGCAUCGUUUUUAUAUAUAAACUACUUUGUUCUAAGCAAAAUAUCAAACAAACUUUUCGUACAUUAUAAGACAAACUAAAUAGCUAAGUGAUCUACAUGGCGCGACGUGUCGCUGCGCACUAUCCGCUAGUACUACCUAGCAUGUCUGGUCAUCCCCUUUCUUCGUUCAUUGACAUGCGCUUCUUUGUGUACUCCUCGUUUGGAGCUCGAUGGUACUAUAGGUCAAAAAUAUAGACCAUUGUCUUCGCAAUGACACAAACACACUUGAUGGUGGCAUCUUCUUCAAUGAGAAGAUAUUCAUCCGCGUAGUCGCCGGAAACACCAUAUGCAAUCACUCUCACCGUCGUUGAUUUUUUUAAUAUGCACUAAAGCCAAGCAAGCCGGCAACAUUCCUACGUCGAGUGAAAAAACAACAAUUCUGCUCGCAAGCUUCCAUGAUGCACAUGAAUAGAGACCUACACAUUUGAUAUUGCCUACGAAAUAGGAGACCCGAAUAUGGCGCUACCUCGACGAAGUAGUCCUUCAUGAGCACCUUGUCUCUGAGAGCUCGGUUGCAAGGAAUGCAUAGCGGGCCAAUCGCGAAUCCAUAACACUUUUUCUUUGGGCCCUUCUCAAAUUCGUCCACAAGAUGCAACAAUACUUGAUUGUCGACAUUGUUAUCAUAUCUUUUAUGUGUGAAUCAUCCGACAAAGACGACGAGGACGGACUUCGAUCCAUCUCAAAAAUGCACGCCCGUGAAUUUCACCCGAACCUCACCUACAAAAAUAACCGGGAAAUCGCCCCUUUCUUCUCUCCCAACUACUGAAGCAAAACAUGCUGAAAUCCCUUCCUAUGCGGCGUGGGCGACCCCAACCAACUCCGAGGCUCACAAGGCCGUGCGCCAAGCUUUAGGGCGGAUCCAUUGUUAGAGCAUAUUUCUGUGUAUAUGGUUUUGGUAAUUGAUGACACCCCCUAUGGACUAAUGGUUGCAUUGAGUUAUAUUCGAAUGAUUUGUCCAUAGUCACUUAUUGAAGUCCAUCUGUUGGUUUCAAGGAGUUUAUUUGACGACCAAGGUGGUAUUCAAAGUAUUAUCCAAAGAUUGGUCAUAAAGACACAAUGUUGAUCAAGACUAAGCAAAGAGUAAAUCAAGAUGAUCAACACACAAAGUGUACAAUAUGUACCGAGAGGGAUCAAGUGAUCCCAUGGUAUGGUAAGCAUUAUCCAUAACGCUUUUGUGUACUAACCCAUGGUCUUCGUGAGAGUUCUAUGUGGGGUUGGGUGUGUUUCCAUGGGUUUGCAUCAAGAGUUAGAUCUCAUUCAACCUAUGAAGGAAGACAUCAAGUGGUGAUCGUCAUCAAGAUUGCGGUGUGCAAGUUCAAGUGGAGCAUCACGAAGAUAUCAUGCUUGAAGCUUGCCGUCCAUUAUGGUGGCAAUGGAGUUGUGAAGAUGUGCUGAAGAGUGUCUCACCAUAGUGAGUAUGGGGGGCAAUCAACUAGUCUUCAUGAAACCAACAUCAAGAAAGGUGGUCCAUCUUGAGGAAGCCAAGAUCAUCGUCAUCUAGCUCAAGAGGACUAGGUGCAAGGUACAGGUUAGGAUAGAUUGUCGUACUGUCAAGGGGGUCUCUCAAGUGAGUAGCUUGAUCGUAUCGUUCAUUGGAUAGCUCUUGUCGUCUUGAAUCCAACAAGCUUGAGUUUGCUCGAUUCGAAACUCGUAUGCGAAAGUUAUGGCGGUUUCAGUGGCCAGCGGUAGUACCGCCAGUGCCAGUGGUAGUACCGCUCUUGGAACGGUAGUAGUUUUUACUACCGCUCUCUGGCGGUAGUACCGUCCGGUACUAUCGUGCCGUCGAACUUUUGCUCAACCGCAGCCUCACCGGAGGUAGGCACGGAAGUUAUUUUUUACUACCAUGGUUGGUGAACCUACCCUGCGGUAGUACCGCUCCUAGGAGCGGUAGUACCACUCCUAGCAGCGGUAGUACCGCUCUGCUCGGGCUGUGAAUGGGGGUAACGGUUGGAUUAUUUCCCCCACUAUAUAAAGGGGGUCUUCUUCCCCAUUGGAUCUAAUCCAUCCGUUGAGCUCGUGUUCUUCCCCCAUUGUUGUCCUUCUUAGAGCUUGCUAACUCUCAAUCCCUCCAAUAAUUCUUGCUAGUUCUUGAGGGAAAAGAGAGAGGAGAUCUAGAUCCACAUCUUCACCAAUCACUUUCUCCUCUAUGUGAGGGGAACCCCUUGGAUCUUGAUCUUGGAGUUCUUUGUGAGCUCCUUGUUCUUCCUCUCGUAUUUCUCCAUAGCUUUUGUUGUUGUGGAGGGAUUUGAGUGUGAGGGACUUGACCACUUCGUGUGUUCUUUCCAUUACACUAGUUGCAUCGGUUUAGUUCUCCACGGUGAUUUGUGGAAGUGAGAAGUUGAGAAGCUUAUUACCCUUGGGUUCUUGGUACCCCUAGAGAUUGUUCUUCGUGGAUGCUUUGGCAUCUUAGAAGCUUGGUGGUGCCUCGAAGCUCAAUCAUUGUGGUGUAAAGCUCCGAGCAAGCGUCGGGUCUCCAAUUAAGUUGUGGAGAUUGCCCCGAGCAUUUGUGGUCACCUCGAAGCCAUAUGCCAUUGUGGUGAAGCUUCGUGGUGUUGUUGGGAGCCUCCAAUUAAGUUGUAGAGAUUGCCCCAAACUUUUUUGUACGAUUUCGAUGACCGCCCUCAAGGGUCCCUUAGUGGAAUCACAUCAUCUUGCAUUGUGCGAGGUCGUGAGGAGAUUACGGCGGCCUUAGUGGCAUCUUGAAAAGCAUCAUGACUCCACAUCGCUUUAAACGGAGAUUAGCAUCCACAAGGGUGUGAACUUCAGGAUACAUCGUCGUCUUCGCGUGCCUCGGUUAUCUCUUAACCGAACUCUUUACUUAUGCACUUCACUUUUUGAUAGCCAUAUUGUUUCUUGUUAUAUAUCUUGCUAUCACUUAGUUGUUUAUCUUGCUUAGCAUAAGUUGUUGGUGCACAUAGGUGAGCCUAGUUGUUUUAGGUUUUGUGCUUGACAAAUUAAACGUUAGCUUUAUUCCGCAUUUGUUCAAGCUUAAACCGUAAUUAUUUUAAAGCGCCUAUUCACCCCCCCUCUAGGCGACAUCCACGUCCUUUCAUCCAUGGUGCCGGUGGCGGUCGCGAGCCCACCGACAUAAAUGGGCACCCCGCCCUCAAAUUAGGUGGAACAUAUGUGGCACGGUGUAACGGGGGCAGCAAGAACUAUACCUCGCCAAACAGGUCGGCCUGCGGGCAUGCCGGCACGGCACGACCCGUUUAUUUAUUUUUAUUUUUUUAAUAUAUAUAUAUAUAUAUACACAAUAUACAAUCCAAUAGGCCUAAAAAUGAACCAACGAGGCUAAAAAUAUACGGCCCAACGUGCUAAACGGGCCAACACGCCGAUUCAUUUAGUAAUCGGGUCGUGCGCGAGCCUGAAGACGCAGCCCACGGGCUGGUAUGACAUGACCCGAUUACUAAAUGUGCCUCCAUGGGCCGUGCCGGGCGAGGAAGCCAAGCACAGGCCGUGCUGGUGCCGUGUCGGGCCGCUCGUUUGGGCAGGUAUGGCAAGAAGCGACAGGGAGUUGAGACGACGACAAUGACGGGUUUUGAGGGGAAAUGGAUGGAAAGGAAUUCCACGACGAGAAAGGGGAUCCAGCAAAAACAGGUGUUGCUCCUAUAGAUAUGACAAAAGUGAGAUCUCGAAAAAAAUCAGGGUGAACGAAUAUACUUCCUCCGUUUCUAAAUAUAAGACUUUUUAAAGAUAUCAACGGAGCAAAAUGAAUGAAUCUAUACUCUAAAGUAUGUCUAUAUACAUACGUAUAUAGUCUUUUAAUGAAACAUUUAUUUCACCGUAAACUAAUAUCUUUACCUACUAAAUAAUACUAAUAAAGCAAUUAGUGCUUCUAUAGUCCGUCAUUAACAUUGCCCCUAAAGUUGAUGAAAAUUACCCACCAAUGCCAUUAAUAAGUGGAAACAAUUCGUUUUUUCUUAAAUCGCCGUCGCUAGCUUCUGGUUCAUCAACCUUUAUGUCAUUAGACUACACAAGGGCACUAGCCAACCUGUUGGCUACGUCGUAUCUAUCCUGUCCGGGAGACCAGGGUUCAAUCCGAGGUACUCCCCAUUUUUUCUAGCCUUUUCUAAAACCUCAAAUAUUUUACAUAUUAGAGUAUUUAAAAAAAUAUUCAUAUCUUUCAAACCUUAAUUUCAAAUUUAACAUGUUAUUUUUUUCACAAAGGCCAUCUCGCAAAACUGUCGCUUAAUUGUCACCUUAACCCAUUGUCAAUAUCACCUAUAAGUGAUAAAAAAUAUUCAUGAUUUUAAAUAUGUUCAUGAUUUUUAGAAAAUGUUAUGAUUUCUAAACUGUUCGUGAUUUCAUGAAAUUAAGAAUGAUAGUGUAUCUCAGUGAUGCAGUAAAAUAUGGUCAUCUCCAUUGAAAAUUACGAAAAAAAAUUCGUUGCAAUGUACGGGCCUUUUGUUAGUAAGUGUAAGUGCUUUUAUAUUAGUUUACGGAGGGAGUAUUUAGAAAGCGUAGGGAGUACUUAGUAUUUAGAUCGGUAAAUUCACCUUCGUCUUACCCUUCCGGCAAAAACAGGUGUUGCUCUCGUAGCGCUCGCUCUCACCCACCCUUCCCCAACUCGCAUCCAGCGCCGCAACCCCUCGUCUCUCCCCCCCUUCCGAUCUGAGGCGUCGUUGGAGAUCGGCGGCAACCGAAGAGGCGUCCGACGACGGCCGUCGCGGGUGGCACCAGUGCAGUGGAGCAAAUCAACCAGUUGAGAUGGCGACAUUGAGGCCGCUGAGCGUGGAGGAGGUGCUGAGGGUGAACGGCAGCCACCGCUUUGCCGCCGCGCUGGCUGCCGCCUCCCCCUUUGAUUCUCUUGCCAACGCGCUCCUUGCCGCCCGCCGCAUCUGGCUGAACGAGGUAGGUAGCUCUCGAUCUCCUAAUCUCUCUUCCCUGCACCCAUCCUCCUGUCUGAAGACCCCUCACUUCCCAUACUGAUACAUGCCGCCCACGUGCGUGCAAUCGGGAUCGACGUGGAACAAAUCAAGGUGGACGUGACUGGAUGGCUGGAGGCCUUCGCUGCCCACCCACCCAUCGGAAGCACCUCCUCCUCCGUCUCCAAG